rnacentral:rRNA from 1 species
AACGAACGCUGGCGGCAGGCUUAACACAUGCAAGUCGAACGCCCCGCAAGGGGAGUGGCAGACGGGUGAGUAACGCGUGGGAAUCUACCCAGUUCUACGGAAUAACCCAGGGAAACUUGGAUUAAUACCGUAUACGCCCUACGGGGGAAAGAUUUAUCGGAAUUGGAUGAGCCCGCGUUGGAUUAGCUAGUUGGUGGGGUAAUGGCCUACCAAGGCGACGAUCCAUAGCUGGUCUGAGAGGAUGAUCAGCCACACUGGGACUGAGACACGGCCCAGACUCCUACGGGAGGCAGCAGUGGGGAAUAUUGGACAAUGGGCGCAAGCCUGAUCCAGCCAUGCCGCGUGAGUGAUGAAGGCCUUAGGGUUGUAAAGCUCUUUCAGUGGGGACGAUAAUGACGGUACCCACAGAAGAAGCCCCGGCUAACUUCGUGCCAGCCGCCGCCGUAAUAC